rnacentral:rRNA from 1 species
AGCGAACGCUGGCGGCAGGCCUAACACAUGCAAGUCGAACGAACUCUUCGGAGUUAGUGGCGGACGGGUGAGUAACACGUGGGAACGUGCCCUUUGGUACGGAAUAACUCAGGGAAACUUGAGCUAAUACCGUAUGUGCCCUUCGGGGGAAAGAUUUAUCGCCAUUGGAGCGGCCCGCGUCUGAUUAGCUAGUUGGUGAGGUAACGGCUCACCAAGGCGACGAUCAGUAGCUGGUCUGAGAGGAUGACCAGCCACAUUGGGACUGAGACACGGCCCAAACUCCUACGGGAGGCAGCAGUGGGGAAUCUUGCGCAAUGGGCGAAAGCCUGACGCAGCCAUGCCGCGUGGAUGAUGAAGGUCUUAGGAUUGUAAAAUCCUUUCACCGGUGAAGAUAAUGACUGUAGCCGGAGAAGAAGCCCCGGCUAACUUCGUGCCAGCCGCCGCCGUAACAC